rnacentral:lncRNA from 1 species
CUUGCCGCAGCCUUCUGCCGUGAAGACACUUCACGACACCUUGCCGCAGCCCCCUGCCGUGAAGACAACAUCUCACCGUGAAGUAUCUCACCUGCUGGCGACCUCCUGCCGUGAAGAAACAACCGCGCCGCGAACUCCAGCAACCUCCUGCCAAUAUUCUGUGAAUUGUAUACUCGCCGCCGUCGCAAGCACCCUCCUGCCUUGAAGACCUCUGCUGGCGACCUCCUGCCGUGAAGAAACAACCGCGCCGCGAACUCCAACAACCUCCUGCCUCGAAUCCCAACUGCAAUUCCAGUGAAAUCCCAGCCACGAACUUCAGCCUCGAAUCCCAGCCGCAAAUACUCUGUGAAUCUACAGCAGCUAAUUAUCUUUAGAUGGAGAAACAUGAAGUUGCUCGUCCCAUUAGCACCAUUCUCGAUGGAACUAAUUAUAUUACUUGGGCCCACCAAAUGAGGAGUUUUUUGAUAGGUCGAAAACUGUGGCGCAUCGUUACUGGAGAUAUCACUAAACCAGUCAAACCUACUCCUCCGAUGGACACCACUGAAAAUAUUGAUACAGACCCAUCUGAUGUCACUGUUCAAGAGACGACUGCAGAAACCGACAAAUACAUUGAACGUCUUGAGGAUUGGGAUAGCA